rfam:Elusimicrobia bacterium RIFCSPLOWO2_12_FTLL_59_9 rifcsplowo2_12_scaffold_9047, whole genome shotgun sequence.
GCGCCCGUAGCUCAGUUGGUCAGAGCACCCCGCUCAUAACGGGAGGGUCGCAGGUUCAAGUCCUGCCGGGCGCA